rnacentral:rRNA from 1 species
AGUCACUGACAUUAGACUACCCCCGUAGUCCCAGCCGUAAACUAUGCGCGUUAGGUGUAUCGGUGACCACGAGUUACCGAGGUGCCGAAGGGAAACCGUGAAACGUGCCGCCUGGGAAGUACGGUCGCAAGGCUGAAACUUAAAGGAAUUGGCGGGGAGCACCACAACAGGUGGAGCCUGCGGUUUAAUUGGACUCAACGCCGGGAAGCUCACCGGAUAGGACAGCAGAAUGAUUGCCGGGCUGAAGACCCUGCAUGACUAGCUG